GACAGAGGGUGCAAACGUUGUUCGGAAUUACUGGGCGUAAAGCGAGUGUAGGCGGUCUCAUAAAUCGGGUGUGAAAGCCCUGGGCUCAACCCAGGAAGUGCACUCGAAACUGCGAGGCUAGAGUAUCGGAGAGGUUGGUGGAAUUCUCGGUGUAGAGGUGAAAUUCGUAGAUAUCGAGAGGAACACCGGUGGCGAAGGCGGCCAACUGGACGAAUACUGACGCUGAGACUCGAAAGCGUGGGGAGCAAACAGG
rnacentral:rRNA from 1 species